rfam:Loxodonta africana unplaced genomic scaffold scaffold_58, whole genome shotgun sequence.
GCAGUGGUGAUUCAGUGGUAGAGUUCUCACCUUCCAUGUGGUAGACCCAAGUUUGAUUCCUGGCCAGUGCA